rnacentral:rRNA from 1 species
UUUGAUGUUCUAACGUUGACCCGUGAUCCGGGUUGCGGACAGUGUCUGGUGGGUAGUUUGACUGGGGCGGUCUCCUCCUAAAGAGUAACGGAGGAGCACGAAGGUUGGCUAAUCCUGGUCGGACAUCAGGAGGUUAGUGCAAUGGCAUAAGCCAGCUUGACUGCGAGCGUGACGGCGCGAGCAGGUGCGAAAGCAGGUCAUAGUGAUCCGGUGGUUCUGAAUGGAAGGGCCAUCGCUCAACGGAUAAAAGGUACUCCGGGGAUAACAGGCUGAUACCGCCCAAGAGUUCAUAUCGACGGCGGUGUUUGGCACCUCGAUGUCGGCUCAUCACAUCCUGGGGCUGAAGUAGGUCCCAAGGGUAUGGCUGUUCGCCAUUUAAAGUGGUACGCGAGCUGGGUUUAGAACGUCGUGAGACAGUUCGGUCCCUAUCUGCCGUGGGCGCUGGAGAAUUGAGGGGGGCUGCUCCUAGUACGAGAGGACCGGAGUGGACGCAUCACUGGUGUUCGGGUUGUCAUGCCAAUGGCACUGCCCGGUAGCUAAAUGCGGAAGAGAUAAGUGCUGAAAGCAUCUAAGCACGAAACUUGCCCCGAGAUGAGUUCUCCCUGACUCCUUGAGAGUCCUGAAGGAACGUUGAAGACGACGACGUUGAUAGGCCGGGUGUGUAAGCGCAGCGAUGCGUUGAGCUAACCGGUACUAAUGAACCGUGAGGCUUAACCUU